rnacentral:rRNA from 1 species
UACAGAGGUCUCAAGCGUUGUUCGGAUUCAUUGGGCGUAAAGGGUGCGUAGGCGGCGCGGUAAGUCGGGUGUGAAAUCUCGGAGCUUAACUCCGAAACUGCCUUCAAUACUGCCGGGCUCGAGGACUGUAGAGGAGAAUGGAAUUCACGGUGUAGCAGUGAAAUGCGUAGAUAUCGUGAGGAAGACCAGUGGCGAAGGCGAUUCUCUGGGCAGUUCCUGACACUGAGGCACGAAGGCCAGGGGAGCAAACGGG